rnacentral:rRNA from 1 species
GGCAACCUGCCUAUAAGACUGGGAUAACUUCGGGAAACCGGAGCUAAUACCGGAUACGUUCUUUUCUCGCAUGAGAGAAGAUGGAAAGACGGUUUACGCUGUCACUUAUAGAUGGGCCCGCGGCGCAUUAGCUAGUUGGUGAGGUAAUGGCUCACCAAGGCGACGAUGCGUAGCCGACCUGAGAGGGUGAUCGGCCACACUGGGACUGAGACACGGCCCAGACUCCUACGGGAGGCAGCAGUAGGGAAUCUUCCGCAAUGGACGAAAGUCUGACGGAGCAACGCCGCGUGAACGAAGAAGGCCUUCGGGUCGUAAAGUUCUGUUGUUAGGGAAGAACAAGUACCAGAGUAACUGCUGGUACCUUGACGGUACCUAACCAGAAAGCCACGGCUAACUACGUGCCAGCAGCCGCGGUAAUACGUAGGUGGCAAGCGUUGUCCGGAAUUAUUGGGCGUAAAGCGCGCGCAGGUGGUUCCUUAAGUCUGAUGUGAAAGCCCACGGCUCAACCGUGGAGGGUCAUUGGAAACUGGGGAACUUGAGUGCAGAAGAGGAAAGUGGAAUUCCAAGUGUAGCGGUGAAAUGCGUAGAGAUUUGGAGGAACACCAGUGGCGAAGGCGACUUUCUGGUCUGUAACUGACACUGAGGCGCGAAAGCGUGAGGAGCAAACAGGAUUAGAUACCCUGGUAGUCCACGCCGUAAACGAUGAGUGCUAAGUGUUAGAGGGUUUCCGCCCUUUAGUGCUGCAGCUAACGCAUUAAGCACUCCGCCUGGGGAGUACGGCCGCAAGGCUGAAACUCAAAGGAAUUGACGGGGGCCCGCACAAGCGGUGGAGCAUGUGGUUUAAUUCGAAGCAACGCGAAGAACCUUACCAGGUCUUGACAUCCUCUGACAACCCUAGAGAUAGGGCUUUCCCCUUCGGGGGACAGAGUCACAGGUGGUGCAUGGUUGUCGUCAGCUCGUGUCGUGAGAUGUUGGGUUAAGUCCCGCAACGAGCGCAACCCUUGAUCUUAGUUGCCAGCAUUCAGUUGGGCACUCUAAGGUGACUGCCGGUGACAAACCGGAGGAAGGUGGGGAUGACGUCAAAUCAUCAUGCCCCUUAUGACCUGGGCUACACACGUGCUACAAUGGAUGGUACAAAGGGCUGCAAACCUGCGAAGGUAAGCGAAUCCCAUAAAGCCAUUCUCAGUUCGGAUUGCAGGCUGCAACUCGCCUGCAUGAAGCCGGAAUCGCUAGUAAUCG